rnacentral:rRNA from 1 species
AGCGGAGGAAAAGAAACUAACAAGGAUUCCUCUAGUAGCGGCGAGCGAAGCGGGAAGAGCUCAAAUUUAUAAUCUGGCACCUUCGGUGUCCGAGUUGUAAUCUCUAGAAGUGUUUUCCGCGUUGGACCGCACACAAGUCUGUUGGAAUACAGCGGCAUAGUGGUGAAACCCCCGUAUAUGGUGCGGACGCCCAGCGCUUUGUGAUACACUUUCAAUGAGUCGAGUUGUUUGGGAAUGCAGCUCAAAUUGGGUGGUAAAUUCCAUCUAAAGCUAAAUAUUGGCGAGAGACCGAUAGCGAACAAGUACCGUGAGGGAAAGAUGAAAAGCACUUUGGAAAGAGAGUUAACAGUACGUGAAAUUGUUGGAAGGGAAACGCUUGAAGUCAGACUUGCUUGCCGGAGCUUGCUUCGGUUUGCAGGCCAGCAUCAGUUUUCCGGGGUGGAUAAUAACGGUUUGAAGGUAGCAGUCUCGGCUGUGUUAUAGCUUUCCGUUGGAUACAUCCUGGGGGACUGAGGAACGCAGCGUGCUUUUUGCGAAAGACUCGUCUUUUUCACGC